CGGCCGGCAGGAGGUGCUCUAGUGCGCCUGCGCGUCUCCUCCCAUCACGUCACGGGGGAGUCUGUGGAGGCUCCCGGUGCAAAGCUCUGCCUGUCUGCACACCAACUACUACCGACUCAACCUGAAGGUUUUCGAUGGUGUGGGCUUGAUGGGAUCGGAGCGGGCGUCAGAGUGAUGGUCUAAGGACUGGCGGUCUCGGAGGUGCUCGCGCGGGGGAUGUUGCGCUGGUCGGUGCACCUUGAAGGAGGGCCGCGGAGAGUCAACCAUGCUGCUGUGGCGGUGGGACACAAGGUGUACUCCUUCGGGGGGUACUGCUCCGGGGAGGACUACGAGACGCUGCGACAGAUCGACGUGCACGUCUUCAACACAGUGUCUCUGCGCUGGAUGAAGCUGCCUCCGGUGAGGAUGGGAGGACACGAACGUGCCCGUGAAGUGCCAUAUAUGCGUUACGGCCACACAGCCGUGCUGCUGGAUGAUAUAAUCUACCUCUGGGGUGGGCGUAACGACACAGAAGGGGCCUGUAAUGUGCUGUAUGCCUUUGAUAUCAACACCCACGGAUGGUUCACACCCAAGAUUUCUGGGACCGUCCCGGGGGCGAGGGACGGACACUCGGCCUGCGUCCUGGGGAAGGCGAUGUACAUAUUUGGAGGAUACGAGCAGCUGGCCGACUGCUUCUCCAAUGACAUCCACAAGCUGGACACCACCACCAUGGUGUGGUCAUUAAUUAACGCCAGGGGCAAUCCUGCACGCUGGAGAGACUUCCACUCAGCCACCAUAAUCGGGACAAAGAUGUUUGUGUUUGGAGGGCGAGCAGACCGCUUCGGUCCCUUCCACUCCAACAACGAGAUCUACUGCAACAAGAUCAAAGUGUUCGACACAGAGACCAACUGCUGGCUGAGCACACCGUCAGCACAGCCGCUGCCAGAGGGACGCCGGAGCCAUUCAGCAUUUACCUACAACGGAGAGCUGUACAUAUUUGGAGGAUACAACGCCCGUCUGGACAUGCACUUCAACGACCUCUGGAAGUUCAACCCAGAUGGCAGUCUGCACCUCAAACGUCAUCCUCAUUACCCAGCAGACUCUGAAUGGGCCUGUUGCCAUAGAGAUCUAAUGAUGCUGCUGGCUGAGAGAGUGUGAGACGGCACUCUUCAUCCUUAUAUGGAUCAGCUGAGAGAGCUCCGUCACACUCUUCAUCCUUAUAUGGAUCAGAAGCCUUCUCCUGGAAUAAGGUGGAGCCGAAGGGGAAAGGCCCGUGUCCCCGGAGGCGGCAGUGCUGCUGUAUGGUUGGAGAUCGAAUCAUCCUCUUCGGAGGAACCAGCCCGUGUCCCGAGCAAGGAAUGGGGGAUGAAUUCAACCUCAUGGACCACUCAGACCUGUAUAUCUUAGACUUCAGCCCUAAUUUGAAGACGUUAUGCAAAAUAGCUGUUAUUCAGUACAGUCUGGAGCAGUCGGGACUCCCACAAGACAUCAGGUGGGAACUGGCAGCCAUGACAACAAACAGCAACAUCAGCAGGCCGAUCUUCUCGUCCCACGGCUGACCCUCCUGACUGUGAGGGAGAUCAGGACUCUCUGAUUCAGGACUCUUUAGGCUUUUAACUUUCUUACAGACUCAGAUCCAGACCGCUGUUUUUUUCUAGAGUCUGGAUCUGGAUGGGAUUUAUUUUCCACAUUCUUCAACUUUACUCUGACCAAAAUAUCCUGCGUGACUCCUCUGGAGCCGCGAGCGGUCUCGGAUAUUUUGAACCCUUGAGACGCUGGUCGUGUGAGACCCGAAUCAUUGACACCUUCUCCUUCUUCUUUUCUAGCCUCUCUAGAAAUCCAAUCAGCCUAUGAUAAUCAUAGACUUCUAAUCUUAAGCACAGGAAGAGACAAGAACUUCAGCCAAAGGUUCCAGAGAGCUCUCUGUGGACGAUGUCACGGGUCUCCCUCAAAGGACUAAUGUGAAUCUACUGGUGGAUCGAUAAGGACGCUGAGUCUCUCAAACGGACAUGAAACCAUGUAAAAGGAUUAAGUGUCUGUAGUUUAUGAAGUGGACGAAGGUGACCGUGGACUUUGGUGUUAGAUUUAAGAAGACGUGUACAAGAUCUUUUAGGGUUCCACGAUUGAAAAAGUUCUGUGUGAUUGGCUUCAUCUUGUCUCAUGCUUCAUCCUCUCCUCACUCACACCCCGAUGCUAAGUGUCUCUAAGGCCGGACUCAGACUACAGGAGGAGCAUGCAUCAGAUGUAUACCUGUUUUCUUCACUGAACCAAUCUUUGACAUCCUGAGCUGCUCAGAGACUCGUCUAAGGCGUGCCGAUGAUAGCGAUCUUGUUGAAUGUUUAGCAUUAAAGGUUCUGGAGGAUUACGUCAGUACGUUUAGAGCAGAAAGGAGAGAGGGAAGGAGGUAGCUGUGAAACUGUUGAGCGUUAGCGUCACUCCAACAUGUGUGAGGACGAAAAAACUGCAAAACAAACACACCCGAAAAAAGACACGGCUAAUGUGGGCUUAACGUGAAAAGCUCUGGUGUUUGUGUUCACAGUCCGUUGGAUAGAAAUGUUCAGGAGUGAGAUCACUUACAGACUGCAUAGAAAUACUGAAUCUCUGGGCGAGGGUUUUUCCAAGGAGUUUCGUCCACGAAUGCUUCAGCAAGCGUUGGUUGCACGCCGUUCGAAACAGUCUUUAGAGAGCACGAAGAAGGCGUGAUGAAAUCUCAUGACAGUUUCCCUUUAACUGAUCUUUAUCUGAUAUUUCAUGCUUACAUCAGCUUUGUCUUUAAGCGUUAACUCCAGUCUGAAGUUGGACCGUAAGCGAAGGCACGCACAGAAAUGAAGUCUCCGCCUUAAUCUUUAACAGUUUGCUGACUUGAAGCUCGGAUUGUUUCUAGAACUUCACACACAUCACGCCAACAUGCGCUCACACACACUUUGAUUUCUUCCCCACGUUUUACUCGGUUGUGGUUAAAGUCAGCCUGAAAACCUCGUUACAUGCAGCUCAUCCGGAUGAAGUCAGGACAUGUUGAGGAGUUUCGUGCACGUGAAAGUGGUUUAUGUCUGCAGCCUGAUUGUUAGACCAGUUAGUGUUUCAGUCUGAAGUCUGAGUCCGGCCUCAGUUUGAAGUCAGAAACCGGUCUGCCUUGUGAAACUCUCGGUCCAUCUACCUCCCUCAGUCGCAUCCUUCACAUGAAGACUCCCCUCAGACAAACAAACGCCUCCUCACCGUGAGGUCUGUGUUUGUUUAUCUCCAGAGAGCUACGACUCUCCCUCCUCCCUCCUCCCUCCUCCUCCUCCUCCUGCAGUUUGUUUUUCAGUGCCAAACGUAGACUCAUGAUGCAAACAUAUACUGUGUAUGUGUGUCCGCACGUGAUGCUCGUGAUCCUCGCCCACCUGCUCCACGUUGCCUGUUGUUUCGGGGGAAUCAUCUCUGAUGUGCAUAAUGUAGACGCUCCUCUUUUAGACAAUCCUACAGCGUGCUUCUUCACGCCGCGCUGACACACGUGUGUUUGUGUUCAGCUGACGACACAGAAGGGCUGUUACUGAAUUAUUACACACUCGCCAUGAGAGGCCCGGACAUGGAGGUGUUUACUCAGGCGCUUGUUUUUAUUUCACCGUACAAGUUUUAGAACAAAGUUUGGAGAGGUGACGGUCUCUGUUUGCAACCUUUAGUAUCCAGGUUUGUUCCACGAUGACGUCUGUGAUAUCUCAGAUCUUUGGUGCAGUCAGCGGUCUCUUUGAGGGAUCAAUCAACACAAAAUACAACUCAAGACUUCACAGGUUCAUCAGGUUCAGUCAUUUACUGCCACAGCUUGGUGCUGUUGUUAUCCUCCAUAUUUGCAUUAAACAGGGAAUUUAUUAAAGACUUUAUUUAGUCAAGACUUAUUUUGGGUUUCUCAAACGCUGGCUCAAUAUCGCUGAAAAGCUAGCUCAGAGUUUGAAUAUUUAUGCUGCAAAAACCUCAAAGUCUUUCAAGUUAAUUUAUCUUAUUAACUAUUCAAAAUAAAUCUUAACACUUAAUAUAAGUCACCUUAAAAAUCCAGAUAUAUCAUCGUAUUUACAGAUGUUACUUACAAAAAAUAAGGUUGUAAAAAUAACUGCCAGUGCUCCAAACAAGUCGAUCUUACCUCAACGAAACGUAUCCAGUAAGAGUUGCAUGGUCGUUACCAUAUAAGGACAUAAACAAGCUGACACUGAGUAUAGACUUAAGAGUGAAUCUGUCAUUCCGAACACUGUCGUCUCUUUUCUUCACUUCGUUAGACGUCUCUUUCGCUCAUCUUCUGGUGUGAUUUAACCUCCCUCACUAGUGUCCUCCUCUCGUCUUCUUCUCUCUGUUGUUUGAAUCUUAAACUUUGAACUCCUAAAAUAGAUUCAAAGUAAUCUUAAAAUAUCCUCCAUGUAAUCAAAAGAGUUCGAAAGCAGACAUUCACUCUCGUUCUUUGCCGCAGUGUCAACAGGCGGAGGUGAAAUGCGCCGGACACAUUUCACAGAUUGAUUCAAUUUGACGUGUGUGAUCAGGGUCGUCUCUGGAAACACUUUAUUGUUGAGAAUCAGAUCAAGGAUUCAACACAUCUGUGUAAUAACCACAGACUGUACGACGUCAUCUCUGCGUCUACAUCUUGUAUUCCAUACUGAAGCAGAGUUUUGAAGCCUCAACCUAAAUUUGGUUGACGUAACAGGAGGCGAAGAGGUAGACUUUGAGCCUCCUUGCUAAUGUGUCUCUAAUAUUUAAAACUUGUACGUUUAAUAUCUUUAAAAAAGAACACGUUAAUAAUAAAUUCCCUUCGUACAGUGUGUGCUGAUAGAGAAAUGAGCUACUCAGACCUAAACUGUUAACAUGUUUAUUUUAAAGAUCGGCUCUUUGAAUGGGUGUGUAUUUGGUUUCUAGUGUUUCUGCAGCCAGCCCUCUAGUGGACACUCCAGGAACUGCUGUUUUUGGCACUUCUGCAUUGGCUUCAUACUUCAAGAUCGAAGGUUUCUACAGAUUAAAACUCAGUUCCGAUAACAACAGGAGCGUCUUUACGAGCUAACAAUACUGCCGAAACUUUCCGAAUUAGCUUGCGUCGUGUAAGAUAUGGUGACGAUAACAAACGGUGCUAACGCAGCGUGUUGUGAUGGUUAAAGCUCACAAAACAAAGACAAUCAGAGUUUUUCCAGCUAUAUUUUUAACAUUUUUAACGUCGCCAGUCUUGCCAAAGUCUUGGUAUCUUUAGGGUGACAGUAUUUGUUGGAUUGAUUGAUUUCCUUCAUGAGGAUGAUAAGAUCGAGUAUCACAGACUUGUCUUUGGGUCUUAAAAGAAACACCAGGUGAUGAUGAGUACAGCCAGAGAACUUCUCUCCAUGCUAGUUUAAUGUAAAUAAGAACCAGGCUGCUUCAGUCCUGAUCUUUGAGACCAGAUCCCCUCUGUGCCGGAUCAGCUGGUAGAAAUGAAUCCUGCAGGCCGGCUGCUGGUCCCAAACAUCAGGAAGUGAAGACUCUGACCUUCAUCCUGAUGUUUACAGAAGUGUGAAACAAUCGUUAGUGCGGGCUGAAGUCAGCGGCUGAUCGUGGCGGUCUGGCCUUACAGAGAGGAGACAAUGCUGCUUCAAACCUCUCUCUCCCCCCAAACUGAGUGUGGGUUUCAUUUACAGACCGGCAGUGCCAAUAUGACAACACACACACACACACAAUCCACACUCUUCACUCUUCAUGGUCCUCAGUGUCCCUGCUAACGACAGAGUAAAGGUACAGGUGAACAAAUCAAACCUUGGAUGUGACGCAGGAAGCUCGGUCACUUUUUUAACGUGUGUGGUGGAAGACUUUCUUCUUGCAGGACUUCGGUCCUCUUCUUGUUGCGUGUGAAGAUUAGGGUGACAGUGUUUCAGCCAAGACCUCUUCAGGAAUACAAACCUGUCCCUCAGAGACGCUCGCCUCCGUGAGAGUGAAACGAGCGAUGGUGAUGUACGCUCUCUCUGCACCUUUACAGCUUUUAACCUUUAAAGCAGCUUCUGAGAGAAACAUGCAUCAAUAAAUCCUAACGCACGCUCGUCUAACGUCACUUAGAGCGAGCGGCGAUCAUUGCCAAGCAGGACGACGUUCUCCAACUUUAACGCCAAGAAGUGUGUUUCUCUCUCUCUCUGUGGAUUAAUUCAUAAACUACAAAGAAUGCUUGUUAGGAUCAGAACAAAGUACGCCGUGUGUUUGGAUCACUUCACUGUUUUUAUUUGACGGUUUUAUAUUUGACACGUGUUUUCAGAGGGACUCUGAGUGGAGAGGUUGGUCAGGACUUCCUGUGCAAUAUGCUUUAUAACUGUAUCAACAAUAAAUCUGAGACGAUUUGAAGAAGA